GGGAGGGGGGAGGGGGUUUGGGUGUUCUUUCUUUUCUUUCUUCCUAUUGUUUUCUUUUUUCCUCUCUCUCUCUCUCUCUUUUUUUAAGUAGUAUCUUCUUUAAAACAUAUGAAUUGUAUAUAACCAUCUUUAACUUCUGGUCAGUGCUGCGGGGCUGCUAGGUGCCCGCCGACAAAACCUCCACGUGCACGCAGAGCAUGUGCCGGUGUGCCGGCCCUGGCCCCUCUGGGGACAGCUCAAGGAUCCGUGCGUGGCCGUGCCACCACGCUCCCGACGGAGGGAGCCGGGGUGGUGGUCAGCAAAGCAUCACCCUCUCUCCACACCCCCUCACAGCGUACCUUCAGGGCCCGUGGUUUUGGUGUGUUUGAUUUUCUUCCAAACCAAAGGGGGCAUGGGUUCAGAGGCACGUGCGGUGUUGGCUUUAUGGCCACGUCCAGGCAGGGGCCCUGAGGACAUGGUGGGAAGCUGGCCAGGGCCUGGAGGGUGGCGCGCUGUGAGCAGGGCAAGGACCCCACAGCCCGCAUCCUGCUCUCCUCAUCCAUCCGGCUGAGCCGGGAAGGGAGCCGAAAGGUCUGCCCUGGGCUCCGCAGCUCCCCCAGGACCCUGGCUGGGCUCCCGUCCUGUCCACGGAGCCCAGAAGAGGCCCAUGCCGUGACCUCGGGAACUGGACAUGGUCUGUGCCCGCACCUGCCUGCUCUCUCCUGCCUCGCUCCUCAUCCUGCCAUCUCGGCCCCCUCACUUAAGGGCCCUGACUCUUCCUGCUAAUAAUGAGGAAGCCUGGUGUCCCAGCCAGCCAGAGGGUUACCCCUCCCACCUCCCUGGGGUGGGAGGUUAAAGAAGGUCCCACACCCCCUCCCCCAGAAAAGGAAUAGUCCUAGAGUUUGGUGCCAGAAGCAAGGGCGGGGGAGGCACCCCCACACGGUCAGUGCGCCAUGAUCAGGGUGGUUUGGUUUGUCUUUGUGUCUUUUUCUGUUUUUUUUUUUUUUUUUUAAACAAUCAUUAAUGAGAUUUUUCUUCAGCCACCAGUGUUGGCCUCGAAGCAGAGGGCUGCAGCCCCUGGUUUGUAAUAUAAGAAAGAAUACGCAGUGUGGCUGUGGUUGGGUGUUGGGUUGUUUGUUUUUUUUUUUCCCUCCUUUGAGAAUUUUAUUUUGUAGAAGCAAAAUGAAAUACUUUUUUAAAACUGAAAUCUGUGGAUGAAUUAGAAGCUGGAACCCUCCUCUUGGAAUAUUCAGCCUAAGAACCUCAUGGGACUAUGAAUUCACCCAAAAUUUUCAUUUGCCAUCAGGCCGAGCUUUUAAAGAAAAAAAUAAAUUGUUCUCUAACCAGGAUUGUAACAAAAGUGUAAAUACUAUUUCAGAGUUGAAAGUUGACGGUGCAAAUAUGUAUAUAACGUACUGUAUUUUUACAAUGAUCGUCGCAUGACUAUUCCUCCCCCUUUUUGUACUCCAUAUCUGUCUUCCAGAAACACCACCUGUCCUUUCUCCUGUGGUCUCUUAAUCCAAUAAUUGUAUUACUGCCAUUAAAGGAUGCAGUUAUUUUAAAAAAAAACACAACUAAUCUACGGAUCUUGUCUCUGUGUGCUGACCCCAGCACCCCUUGCCCCAGAAAUGACAAGGGGGUGGGGGGCGCAGCCUUGAAACCAGAGUCUGUCCUCAGCGGCCUGUCAGUCCCCGGGUGGCGGUCGCAGUGACGCUGUG
ensembl:lncRNA